rnacentral:rRNA from 1 species
GCUCAGGACGAACGCUGGCGGCGUGCUUAACACAUGCAAGUCGAACGCUGAAGCUUGGUGCUUGCACUGGGUGGAUGAGUGGCGAACGGGUGAGUAAUACGUGAGUAACCUGCCCUUGACUCUGGGAUAAGCCUGGGAAACUGGGUCUAAUACUGGAUACGACAUGUCACCGCAUGGUGGUGUGUGGAAAGGGUUUUACUGGUUUUGGAUGGGCUCACGGCCUAUCAGCUUGUUGGUGGGGUAAUGGCUCACCAAGGCGACGACGGGUAGCCGGCCUGAGAGGGUGACCGGCCACACUGGGACUGAGACACGGCCCAGACUCCUACGGGAGGCAGCAGUGGGGAAUAUUGCACAAUGGGCGGAAGCCUGAUGCAGCGACGCCGCGUGAGGGAUGACGGCCUUCGGGUUGUAAACCUCUUUCAGCACGGAAGAAGCGAAAGUGACGGUACGUGCAGAAGAAGCGCCGGCUAACUACGUGCCAGCAGCCGCGGUAAUACGUAGGGCGCAAGCGUUGUCCGGAAUUAUUGGGCGUAAAGAGCUCGUAGGCGGUUUGUCGCGUCUGCUGUGAAAGCCCGGGGCUUAACCCCGGGUGUGCAGUGGGUACGGGCAGACUUGAGUGCAGUAGGGGAGACUGGAAUUCCUGGUGUAGCGGUGAAAUGCGCAGAUAUCAGGAGGAACACCGAUGGCGAAGGCAGGUCUCUGGGCUGUUACUGACGCUGAGGAGCGAAAGCAUGGGGAGCGAACAGGAUUAGAUACCCUGGUAGUCCAUGCCGUAAACGUUGGGCACUAGGUGUGGGGAACAUUCCACGUUUUCCGCGCCGUAGCUAACGCAUUAAGU